rnacentral:rRNA from 1 species
UACGGGGGGAGCAAGCGUUGUUCGGAUUUACUGGGCGUAAAGGGCGCGUAGGCGGCCAGCACAAGUCAGUUGUGAAAUCUCCGAGCUUAACUCGGAAAGGUCAACUGAUACUGUGCGGCUAGAGUGCAGAAGGGGGCAACUGGAAUUCUUGGUGUAGCGGUGAAAUGCGUAGAUAUCAAGAGGAACACCUGCGGCGAAGGCGGGUUGCUGGGCUGACACUGACGCUGGAGGCGCGAAAGCUAGGGGAGCGAACGGG